UACAGAGGGUGCAAGCGUUGUUCGGAAUUAUUGGGCGUAAAGCGCGUGUAGGCGGCCUGUUAUGUCGGGUGUGAAAGCCCUCAGCUUAACUGAGGAAGUGCGCCCGAAACUGGCAGGCUUGAGUCCCGGAGAGGAGAGUGGAAUUCCUGGUGUAGCGGUGAAAUGCGCAGAUAUCAGGAAGAACACCCGUGGCGAAGGCGGCUCUCUGGGACGGUACUGACGCUGAGACGCGAAAGCGUGGGGAGCGAACAGG
rnacentral:rRNA from 1 species